CCUACGUGUGGCUGCAGUGGGGAAUAUUGGACAAUGGGCGAAAGCCUGAUCCAGCCAUGCCGCGUGUGUGAAGAAGGCCUUCGGGUUGUAAAGCACUUUCAGUGGGGAAGAAAGCCUUGGGGCUAAUACCCUCGAGGAAGGACAUCACCCACAGAAGAAGCACCGGCUAACUCCGUGCCAGCAGCCGCGGUAAUACGGAGGGUGCGAGCGUUAAUCGGUAUUACUGGGCGUAAAGCGCGCGUAGGCGGUCUGAUAAGCCGGUUGUGAAAGCCCCGGGCUCAACCUGGGAACGGCAUCCGGAACUGUCAGGCUAGAGUGCAGGAGAGGAAGGUAGAAUUCCCGGGGUAGCGGUGAAAUGCGUAGAGAUCGGGAGGAAUACCAGUGGCGAAGGCGGCCUUCUGGACUGACACUGACGCUGAGGUGCGAAAGCGUGGGUAGCAAACAGGAUUAGAUACCCGAGUAGU
rnacentral:rRNA from 1 species